AACGAACGCUGGCGGCAGGCCUAACACAUGCAAGUCGAGCGAGGACUUCGGUCCUAGCGGCGGACGGGUGAGUAACGCGUGGGAACGUGCCCUUUGCUUCGGAAUAGCCCUGGGAAACUGGGAGUAAUACCGGAUGAGCCCUUUGGGGGAAAGAAUUAUCGGCGAAGGAUCGGCCCGCGUUGGAUUAGGUAGUUGGUGGGGUAAUGGCCUACCAAGCCGACGAUCCAUAGCUGGUUUGAGAGGAUGAUCAGCCACACUGGGACUGAGACACGGCCCAGACUCCUACGGGAGGCAGCAGUGGGGAAUCUUAGACAAUGGGGGAAACCCUGAUCUAGCCAUGCCGCGUGAGCGAUGAAGGCCUUAGGGUUGUAAAGCUCUUUCAGCUGGGAAGAUAAUGACGGUACCAGCAGAAGAAGCCCCGGCUAACUCCGUG
rnacentral:rRNA from 1 species